AGCCCAAACCGAAGGUAUUCCUUCGGGGUUGUAGGACCACGUCAUAUUCGACCAUACUGGAUAGUAGAACAGCCUGGAAAGGCUGGCCGGAGAAGGUGAAAGCCCUGUAGACGAAAUCCAGAGUGGGAAUUAGUGGUAUCCUGAGUAAUACAUCACACGUGGAACGAUGUAUGAACCCGCGCGGACCACCGCGCAAGGCUAAAUACUAGUUGGCGACCGAUAGUGAACAAGUACCGCGAGGGAAAGGUGAAAAGAACCGCUGUGAGCGGAGUGAAAUAGAACCUGAAACCGUAUGUCUACAAAGUGUCAGAGCAGAGCAAUCUGCGAUGGCGUGCCUUUUGUUUAAUGAGUCUGCGAGUCAGUGUUUGUGGCAAGACUAAGGGCUUCCGGCCCGGAGUCGCAGCGAAAGCAAGUCCGAACAGGGCGCAAUAAGUCGCAGGUACUGGACCCGAAGCGGAGGUGACCUACCCUUGGCCAGGUUGAAGCAUGGGUAAAACCAUGUGGAGGACCGAACAGGUGAACGUUGAAAAGUUCUCUGAUGAGCUGAGGGUAGGAGUGAAAGGCUAAUCAAACCCCGUGAUAGCUGGUUCUCUUCGAAAUGCAUUUAGGUGCAGCGUCACGUGCUGAUGCGCGGGGGUAGAGCACUGACAAGGCUAGGGGGCACACCCGCUUACCAAACCUUAUCAAACUCCGAAUACCGUGCAAUGGAACGUGGCAGUGAGACAGUGGGGGAUAAGCUUCAUUGUCGAGAGGGAAACAACCCAGACCAGCAGCUAAGGUGCCUAAAUAACGCUCAGUGGAAAGGAUGUGGGAUUACACAGACAGUGAGGAUGUUGGCUUAGAAGCAGCCACCAUUUAAAAAAUGCGUAAUAGCUUACUCAUCGAGUGAUCCUGCGCCGAAAAUGAUUGGCGAUCAAGCGUUAUACCGAAGCUCUGGACUUUGCCGCAAGGCAGAGUGGUAGAAGAGCGUUGCAUGCGCGUCGAAGGGCGAUGGCGACUGACCCUGGAGCACAUGCAAGUGAGUAUGCAGACAUGAGUAACGUUAAGCCGGGUGAAAUCCCCGGCCGCCGUAAACCCGAGGUUUCCAGGGCAACGUGUUUCGUCCCUGGGUUAGCCGGGACCUAAGCCGAGGCCGAGAGGCGUAGGCGAUGGACAUCAGGUUAAUAAUCCUGAGCUCGCAACCCUUAAACUGGGGGGACGCAUGAGAAAAGAUGACUAGGUUAUUGAAUUCCGAGUUGAGUCCACGGACUCAGCGCAUCAUUGGAUCGAGUGCCAAGAAAAGCCCCAGCGUAUGCUAAGCGACCCGUACCGCAAACCGACACAGGUGGGUGGGUAGAAUAUACCAAGGCGUAAGAGUGAAACCUGGUUAAGGAACUCGGCAAAUUAGCCCCGUAACUUCGGAAGAAGGGGUGCCUGCAGCGAUGCAGGCCGCAGAGAAAUGGCCCAACCGACUGUUUAUCAAAAACACAGCACUCUGCAAAGACGCAAGUCGAAGUAUAGGGUGUGACACGUGACCAAUGCCGAAAGAUUAAGGCAAGGGGUUAGCCGCAAGGCGAAGCUCUAAACCCAAGUCCCGGUGAAUGUCGGCCGUAACUAUAACGGUCCUAAGGUAGCGAAAUUCCUUGUCGGGUAAGUUCCGACCUGCACGAAUCGUGAAACGAGUUGGGCACUGUCUCAACCAGGCGCUCAGUGAAAUUGUAGUGGCGGUGAAGAUGCCGCCUACCCGCAGAAGGACGGAAAGACCCUAUAGACCUUAACUGUAAGCUGUCAUUGUUUCUUCGGUUUUAAUGCUCAGAGUAAGUGGGAGACGCUGAAGACGCCCUUUAGGGGGCGUCCGAGUCAUCAAUGAGACACCACCCUUUGAAACUGGAGGAUCUAACCCUGAGCCGUGAAUCCGGCCAGAGGACCGUGUCAGCCGGUCAGUUUUACUGGGGCGGUAUCCUCCCAAAGAGUAACGGAGGAGCGCGAAGGUGGGCUCAGCCCGGUUGGCAACCGGGUGUCGAGUGCAUGGGCAUAAGCCCGCCUAACUGUGAGACCAACAAGUCGAGCAGAUGCGAAAGCAGGCCCAAGUGAUCCGGCGGUAGAAAGUGGAAUUGCCGUCGCUCAACGGAUAAAAGGUACCUUAGGGAUAACAGGCUGAUCACGCCCAAGAGUUCAUAUCGACGGCGU
rnacentral:rRNA from 1 species